rnacentral:tRNA from 1 species
GCGGAAGUGGUGAAAUUGGUAUACACGCUAUCUUGAGGGGGUAGUGCUCGUAAGAGCAUACGGGUUCAAGUCCCGUCUUCCGCACCA